UUCCUGGAGGACUAGUGGUUAGGCCACAGCGCUUUCACUGCUGCGGCCCAGGUUCGAUUCCCGGCCAGGGAA
rnacentral:tRNA from 1 species